CUGUUUAGAAUCAAGCCUGGAAGAGGAGAGAGAACUUUGUCUAUGAGCUGUAGUGACAAAAUGGCACGAUGGAAUGUUCUAGGAUGUCAAGGGGCAUUACUCUGUCACUUCCUGCAAGCACCAGUGUAUUUUUCUUCCAUUAUUAUUGGCAGAUGUCCAUUCAGUCAGGAGGCCAUGACAAGAGCUGUGAUCACGAGGUCAUCAGGGGUCAAAGAUCUUCCAGAUCGUUUCCAUAUCACACAUCCUGCCAUUCUCCAGUCCAAUAAGACAUUCAUUGACGGAAAAGCCAGUGUAGAGAAAAACUCAACUGGAAGAGUUGUUCCCUCCUCAGCAUCAAUAAUAUGGUUCAAUUCCAUGGAAACACCUGAAGUGAUCAAUGAAGGGAAACCCCAAGGGCUCACAAAGAAAGAUUACUUAAAGAACCCAGAAAAGGCCAGGAGUAAAAUAUGCAGCAGAGAAAUAUUUCACUGUUUUAUGGACCUUAUGAAGUUUGUACAGAUUGAAAAUUUUCCUCAUCUGAAAUCUAGUAAUGUCACUCACAAUUCCAGUUACUUUGACUGGAAGAUAGCCUCAAAAGAUUAUCAGCAGUCCUGGCAGAUACUGGGGGUCUACUACGGCUCUUGGAGCCAGAAACCACGAGAUCUACUGAAAUUCACUAGUGAUGUCAAAUUUAAAUAAAAUAUUUAUUACAAG
rnacentral:misc_RNA from 1 species